rnacentral:rRNA from 1 species
AGGACGAACGCUGGCGGCGUGCUUAAUACAUGCAAGUCGAGCGAGGUUACUGUUUUGGAUCCCUUCGGGGUGAAGAAGCUUUAACCUAGCGGCGGACGGGUGAGUAACGCGUGGGUAACCUACCCCAAAGUCCGGGAUAACAGCGGGAAACCGCUGCUAAUACCGGAUGCCUUUACCUUGGGGCAUCUUGAGGUAAAGAAAGGUAACGCUUUGGGAUGGGCCCGCGUCCCAUUAGCUAGUUGGUGAGGUAACGGCUCACCAAGGCGACGAUGGGUAGCCGGCCUGAGAGGGUGGACGGCCACACUGGGACUGAGACACGGCCCAGACUCCUACGGGAGGCAGCAGUAGGGAAUAUUGCGCAAUGGACGGAAGUCUGACGCAGCGACGCCGCGUGAGCGAUGAAGGUCUUCGGAUCGUAAAGCUCUGUCCUUGGGGAAGAAGGCGAAAGCUUGACGGUACCCAAGAAGAAAGCCCCGGCUAACUACGUG